rnacentral:rRNA from 1 species
CGGGGUAGGAGUAACGCGUGGGGAACCUGCCUCAAAGAGGGGGACAACAGUUGGAAACGACUGCUAAUACCGCAUAAGCCCACGGCUCGGCAUCGAGCAGAGGGAAAAGGAGCAAUCCGCUUUGAGAUGGCCUCGCGUCCGAUUAGCUAGUUGGUGAGGUAACGGCCCACCAAGGCGACGAUCGGUAGCCGGACUGAGAGGUUGAACGGCCACAUUGGGACUGAGACACGGCCCAG